GGGGGCGACUGGUUUCGACCGGAUAGCUGCGGUGGCGGUGGCAUGCUCAGGAUGCUCGAUUGGCCUGAUAAAAAAUUCGAGCACAACUUAACUGCUAACAACGAUGUUGCAGGCCGAGUCGGCUUUGCCGGCGCGGUUCGUAUGGCUGCCUAAUAAAGGCAACCUCAGCCCUGCGGGAAUGCCCGCGAUCUGCAGGCUGUAAUUUGCGGGCUGGUCCUUUUGCUCGGAUGUUGGCAAUUGGAUGAGAAACUGACUUCUGGAAUUCAGCGAAGGGUGUCGAUCUUCGUCGCUGAAUUUGAGAUGUGACGGCGCAAGCCGUCACGGCAAAGACCGACUAAGCAUGUAGAGGCCGUCAUUGACGUCAUCUCGGGACGGGGGUUCGAUUCCCCCCGCCUCCAUUC
rnacentral:tmRNA from 1 species